rnacentral:rRNA from 1 species
GGAUAACAGUUAAAAAUGACUGCUAAUACCGCAUAAGCGCACUAAACCGCAUGGUUCGGUGUGAAAAACUGAGGUGGUAUAGGAUGGACCCGCGUCUGAUUAGCUUGUUGGUGGGGUAACGGCUCACCAAGGCGACGAUCAGUAGCCGGCCUGAGAGGGCGGCCGGCCACAUUGGGACUGAGACACGGCCCAAACUCCUACGGGAGGCAGCAGUGGGGAAUAUUGCACAAUGGGGGAAACCCUGAUGCAGCGACGCCGCGUGAGUGAAGAAGUAUUUCGGUAUGUAAAGCUCUAUCAGCAGGGAAGAAAAUGACGGUACCUGACUAAGAAGCCCCGGCUAACUACGUGCCAGCAGCCGCGGUAAUACGUAGGGGGCAAGCGUUAUCCGGAUUUACUGGGUGUAAAGGGAGCGUAGGUGGCAUGGUAAGCCAGAAGUGAAAACCCGGGGCUCAACCCCGCGGAUUGCUUUUGGAACUAUCAGGCUGGAGUGCUGGAGGGGUAAGCGGAAUUCCUAGUGUAGCGGUGAAAUGCGUAGAUAUUAGGAGGAACACCGGUGGCGAAGGCGGCUUACUGGACAGAGACUGACACUGAGGCUCGAAAGCGUGGGGAGCAAACAGGAUUAGAUACCCUGGUAGUCCACGCCGUAAACG